GAUGAACGCUGGCGGCGUGCCUAAUACAUGCAAGUCGAGCGAACGGACGAGAAGCUUGCUUCUCUGAUGUUAGCGGCGGACGGGUGAGUAACACGUGGAUAACCUACCUAUAAGACUGGGAUAACUUCGGGAAACCGGAGCUAAUACCGGAUAAUAUUUUGAACCGCAUGGUUCAAAAGUGAAAGACGGUCUUGCUGUCACUUAUAGAUGGAUCCACGCUGCAUUAGCUAGUUGGUAAGGUAACGGCUUACCAAGGCAACGAUGCAUAGCCGACCUGAGAGGGUGAUCGGCCACACUGGAACUGGGACACGGUCCAGACUCCUGCGGGAGGCAGCAGUAGGGAAUCUUCCGCAAUGGGCGAAAGCCUGACGGAGCAACGCCGCGUGAGUGAUGAAGGUCUUCGGAUCGUAAAACUCUGUUAUUAGGGAAGAACAUAUGUGUAAGUAAAUGUGCACAUCUUGACGGUACCUAGUCAGAAAGCCACGGCUAACUACGUG
rnacentral:rRNA from 1 species